rnacentral:rRNA from 1 species
CAAUAGCGUAUAUUUAAGUUGUUGCAGUUAAAACGCUCGUAGUCGGAUUUCGGGGCGGGCGGGCCGGUCUGCCGAUGGGUAUGCACUGGUCUGGCCGUCCUUCCUUCCGGAGACCGUGCGUGCUCUUAACUGAGUGCGCUCGGGAGACGGAUCGUUUACUUUGAAAAAAUCAGAGUGUUUCAAGCAGGCAGCUCGCUCUUGCAUGGAUUAGCAUGGGAUAAUGAAAUAGGACUUUGGUGCUAUUUUGUUGGUUUCGAACACCGAAGUAAUGAUUAACAGGGACAGUCAGGGGCACUCGUAUUCCGCCGAGAGAGGUGAAAUUCUCAGACCAGCGGAAGACGAACCACUGCGAAAGCAUUUGCCAGGGAUGUUUUCACUGA